GAUCAUGGCUCAGGAUGAACGCUGGCGGCGUGCUUAACACAUGCAAGUCGAGCGAAGCAGUUAAGAAGAUUCUUCGGAUGAUUCUUAACUGACUGAGCGGGCGGACGGGUGAAGGUAACGCGUGGGUGACCUGCCCCAUACCGGGGGGAUAACAGCUGGAAACGGCUGCUAAUACCGCAUAAGCGCACAGAGCUGCAUGGCUCGGUGUGAAAAACUCCGGUGGUAUGGGAUGGG
rnacentral:rRNA from 1 species